ensembl:rRNA 5S_rRNA 5S ribosomal RNA
UGCCACAGCCAUAUCACCCUGCAGCUCACGACCGGUUACUAACUGAAGCUAAGCAGGGCUGAACCUGGUCAGUACCUCGAUGAGAGACCAUGUGGGAAAACUAAGUUGCUGUUGAAA